rnacentral:rRNA from 1 species
UACGGAGGGUGCGAGCGUUGUCCGGAAUCACUGGGCGUAAAGGGCGCGUAGGUGGCGCGGGCAGUCAACGGUGAAAGUUCGGGGCUCAACCCUGAAUCGGCCGUCGAUACUCCCGUGCUUGAGCACUGUAGAGGCAGAUGGAAUUCCGGGUGUAGCGGUGGAAUGCGUAGAGAUCCGGAAGAACACCGGUGGCGAAGGCGGUCUGCUGGGCAGUUGCUGACACUGAGGCGCGACAGCGUGGGGAGCAAACAG